rnacentral:lncRNA from 1 species
GAAUGAUACUUAUUCUUGUUUUAAGAAAGCUAAAAUAAAUGAAUUAUUUAUGAUAAAAAUAAAAUAAAAUGCCCAUUUUAUAUUAAAAAAAAAAAUAGGCCAUUUUUUGACGCCCAGAAAUGGCAGCGAAUAAGAAAAAAAAUCUAAAAUGCAACGGUCAUAUUGUUGAUGUAACGCUCCCUAACCAAUCAAAAAGCUUUCGAUUUACCGAUCUCUAUGGUUUUUAGAAAAAAAAAACUUUUAUUAUAUUUUUUUUCUCAAAAAGAAAUAUGUGAUUAGUUGGGAAUAGACGAUGUAGUGUAAGCGUUAUGUAAUGGACUUCCUCGCGGAUAAGGAUGUCAAUAAGUCGGAUUCGAAGUGGAUUUUCAAGAACCAGAACCCGAACCCAACUACCAAACCCGAAAUCCGAACCCUAAUCCAAAUCAAACGAAUUUUAAAAAAUCCAUACCCAAAAUCCGAACCCAACCAAAAAUUCAAAACCCGAACCCAAGUCCGAAUCUAAAAAUUCGAACCCCGAAACAAUUAUUUCUCUUUACAAUAUUUCAAAAUUUAUCAUAUUAAAUCUAAAUUUUUAAAAUAAAAAUUAAAAUAUAACAUCAAAUAUAUAUAUAUUUUGUAAUGUAAAAUAAUUUCGGAUUCGGAUUCGGGUUCGGGUGCUGGUUCGGGUCGAGUACAAUCAAAAUCCAUAUCCAAAUUUAAAUCCGCUGAGUUUUCAUUUUUGAUAUUCGUAUUUGAAGAUAUAUCUAUUUAGCGUGGAAUAAAUUCACCCUAUUUGGAUUCAAAUUGAAAUUUAAAUAA